CCAUGAGGCUUUGCCUUGCGAUGACGUUUGGAGCCCCGCGAGGGAAUCCAUCCGUUCAAACAUGUUGGCAUCUGAAAUUGGCCCAAGCACAGCACAAUGUGUCUGCAAGCCUCUGGACGGAUGCCCGUAUUCUCAUGUCGCCAGCGAUGGGGACAUUCAAGGUCGACCUCGGAUCAGGCAAGAUUACCCGCUGAACUUAA
rnacentral:misc_RNA from 1 species